GUGACAGAUGAGGUGACAUGAGGUGACACAGGGUGAUAUGGGGUGCCGUGAGGUGACAUGAGGUGACAGAUGGGGUGACAUGGGGUGACAUGAGGUGACACAGGGUGACACGGGGUGACUUGAGGUGACAUAAGGCGACACAUGGGGUGACACAGGUUGACACGGGGUGACGCGAGGUGACAAGGUGACAGAUGGGUGACAUGGGGUGACACGAGGUGACACGAGGUGACAGAUGGGUGACAUGAGGUGACACGGGGUGACACGGGGUGACAUAAGGCGACACAUGGGGUGACACAGGUUGACAUGGGGUGACAGGAGGUGACAGGAGGUGACAGAUGAGGUGACACCGUGGGCUCACGUGCUCGCGCUGCAGCCGCUUGUGCUCCUCCAUCAGGGCCUCCAGCUGCUGCCAGAAAUCCUCUCUGGGGACAGGGGGCCGUGUCCCCUCAAUGUCCCCAAUGUCCCCUUGUUGUCCCCUCAAUGUCCCCUCACUGUCCCCAUUGUGUCCUCUCGUUGUUCCCUCAUUGUCCCCAUUGUGUCCCCUCAGUGUCCCCUCACCGUCCCCAUAAUGUCCCCAUUGUGUCCCCAUUGUGUCCCCACUGUGUCCCCCCUCAAUGUCACCUCAAUGUCCCCCCAGUGUCCCUCCAAUGUCCCCUCAUUGUCCCUACUCUGCCCCCUCAAUGUCCCCUCAAUGUCCCCUCAAUGUCCCCCCAAUGUCCCUUCACUGUCCCCUCAAUGUCCCCUCACUGUCCCCAUUGUGUCCCCACUGUGUCCCCAUUGUGUCCCCUCAAUGUCCCCCCAAUGUCU
rnacentral:lncRNA from 1 species